UCCUCUUUCUUGUGUGUUUUUACUAGGUGUAAUCAAAAGUAUGGUGAAUGCUGCUGCCAAGUGACAUCCAGUGGAAAAUCAUUACUGUGUGUCCAUAUCCACUUUAUUCACCAGAUCUAGCACCAUGCAACCUCUGGUUUUUACCCAAUGUCAAAGUGACCAUGAAAGGCAAGCAUUUUGGAUGAAUUCUGGACAUCAUGGUAGCCAUGAUAGCACAACUAAAAAAGAUUCAUCCAAACUGUAUGUCAGCUGGAGGUUGUAACAGGGAAUCAAAGGUCUC
rnacentral:lncRNA from 1 species